rnacentral:lncRNA from 1 species
UGCACUAUUCUCUGAGAAAAUGCUGAUUUUAUGCAUUUUUCCAGAGGGUCAAUACAAAACUUGGCCCUAGUUUCCAUGACAACGGCGGCCAUUUUGAACUAUCCAAAUAUUGUUUUGACAUCUUGGCGUACUGGGUCACAUUUUCAUAAAGUUUCAUCCAGCUGGAUGUUAUAAUGAAAGAGUUAGAAUUUUUUAUAUUUGAGCUGUUUCCAUGGUAACGGCAGCCAUUUUGGAAAUUCCAAAGUCAAACUGCAAAUCAUCUCAUGCUAGUUACCAUUCCUGUGAAGUUUCUUACAGUUUGGAACACUUUGAAUAUUUUCGGAUUUUUGCAGUUUCCAUGGAAACGGCAGCCAUCUUGACCAUUCCAAAGUCAGGUGCACAACUUCAUAUGCUGGUCCACAUAAUGGUAUAGUUCCAUCAACAUUGGUCCAUAUAAUUCCGAGAAACUGUGUGGACAAAAAGUGUUGAAGAAGAAUAAUAAAAACUAGAUUUGCCAUUGCAAGCAAUAGCGGAUGGCACCCUUUCCCUAUUGCCAGGCCAGCGGCAGCCAUUUAGAAAAUUUUUGCUGUUUCCAUGGCAACGACGGCCAUUUUGAAAAUUCGAAACUCAAAAGUUAAGUCUACAUAAGCUAGGCAAAAUUUGUUAUAAGUUUCAUUAAAUUUAAAGCAUUUUGAAGUUUUUCAUAAUUUUGCUGUUCCCAUGGUAACGGCGACCAUUUUUAAUAUUCCAAAGUCAAAC